GUUAUUAACGUCUUUCAAGUCAUUUGCUCGGGACCCCGCAUGCCGCGGGCCUUCCUGGCCUGAUGCCCUCCCGGCCACCCGGGACCAACGAUCGCAGUACGUAAGGGCAGCGCCCGGCUGUCGGGGCAACCCCAGGUAGCUCCUCCCCACACCCGGAAGAGGAACAAGCAUCGUCAGCCCAGGGAUGUGUCGCAAGAGGGCGACGUUGGGCAGGGCUGCCCGCUGCCUGUUUGGGUCGGGGCCAUUCUCUGAGUCACGGUCACCUGGGCCCGGGGAAGGCCUGGCACCCCACCCGGGGGUCUUUCAACGCAGGGACUCGUGAGCUGUGGGGGGAGACACCGGCCGACCCCGAGGAGUCCUCGGCCACCACGGGCCCUACACGGCCUGGCGCCCUCGUCCGCCCGCAACCCCCACCCCCCCUGCCCCAGCUGCCACCUGGUCAGGAGCAGAAGAAGGCUGUCCCCACAUCUGGAAUCCAGCCCCAGGACAGAAGCCCCCUGGAUCCUGAUAGAGGGGCGCACUGAGCCCCGGAAGCCUCCCCGCAGAGUGGGGACAAACACGUGAGGGGUGGGGCCCCCACAGCCAGUGAGCAAUCCGCAAACCGGAACCAGAGGGGAGAGGAUUGCUCCAGGACGCAGCCUCAGGUUUUCUGACUGAAGGGCUCAGAGACUGACCCUAACGGGUUAUGAGGUCGGAUGGCAGACGUUUUCCAGGAUGUGGAUGGGGGGAAUCUGCACCUCUGAGGUUGUGAUAUGUAACAUGCCUGAAAGUAUGUCCUCUGAGCAAAUGUGACCUUACGAUGAAGGUUAACUGUGAGGAAAUAUAACCUUGAGAAAUACUUAACUACCCUUGUCUUGGGAAGCAGCUGGGGCUCCAUGAACAUGAUGUCUGAAAGUUCCCUGGGAACCCCAGUCCUUCUCGGGGAGGCCCAUCCCCUGCCCCAAAGGGGCCUCUCUCCCCCCAACCCCUCACCCUCUACCUGCCCCUGCCAGGCUCCGGGCCAGGAGGUCUGGCCAUCGGAUGAAACGCCCAGUGACCCCCAGCCAGCCUGCCCCCACCUCGGCACGGCUCCUGCUGGCAGAGGACAGCUCCCGAAAGGGGGCGACGGCAGUCAGGCCCUGGAGCGCGAUCGCUCCCCAGGAGGGGCCUCUGCGUCACCAGGACUCGAGGGGGAACCUACCGCAGAGGUGACACAAGAGCCCCCUCAACCCCCCUCAUCUGGUCCCCCGUGUGGGCCCGGUGCUGUGUCACUGUGUCCCACAAGCGGCUGCAGAGAGGGCCAGGUGCCUGUGCGUGUGGUCAGGGUCCGGCAAGGAAGAGAGACUAGAAAGUCCUCCACAUCCUCCUCCUCCUCCUCGGGGAGCGUCAACUAGGCCCCAGGUUCUCCGCGAGGCACGGGCACGAUCCCUGACCUCACAGAGCCCGCAAGCUGGGGACCCGGCCGACCCCCGUGUCACAGAACCCUCACCCUGCCUGCCCUCGGGCCCACGGCACCACACGUCGGGAGGGCUCUACAUGCGGGCCUCCAGGCAGUAGGAGAGCACUGGCCGGCGGGAGCACGGGGCCCAGGAGGACGGCUGACCAGGGCGGACAGCGGGCAGAAGUGCUGGGCACAGCCCGGGACGACACGGACUCCACAGAGGAUGCCAGACUCGAUCGGCCUUGGUGCCACGGAACCGGCCCGUCCGAGGCGGCCACGGAGACAAAAGGGGACCGAGCAGGCAGAGCGCCUCCCAGAGGCAGGACGCCAGGAGGCCGGGGCGUCCCCUCUGGAGUUCCCUGCCUUUUCCGGCUUCCAGGGGCAGCGCAUCCCUGGCCGGCGGCCCGUCCUCCACCCUCACAGCCAGCGGCACGGGGUCCGCCCACGGCUCUGCCUCCGGCCCUCCGGCCCCCCUCGUACAACGACCCUGGUGUUGGCACCGGGACCCCAGAUAAUCCAGUAACAUCUCCCAUCUCGGGGGCCUUCAGGUAACCCCGUCUGCCAAGCAAGUCCCUCUUACCACGCGGGGGAGCACACACACUGCCAGGCUCCCGCGAGCGGGCCGCGUGCGCCUUCGGGAGGCACUACUCAGGCCGCUCAGGUGCCGUGUGAAAAGUCCGUCGUGCAAAGAAAGAAACAGUCCCCGCGUCCCUCCAACCUGGGCGCUUUCUGCUGUGGGGCACAUCUCGGGAAGACCAGCACAUCCGCCUACGUUCACCCAGACAGGAGCACAGCUUCUAGAACGUCGGAAACGGGACCGGGCUACCAACGGUGGUCCGCAGGCCCUGUUGUCGCCGAACCUAAGCAGACGUGGACAGCGGCCCGGGGCCACGGAGCAGAAAGAGCCACCCUUACGCUGCAGGGUUAAGAUCCCCAGGGACAGCCAGCGGCGGGGGCCGUGCAGGCGACCCCCGCCGACAACCUCGGCCUGCAAGUUCACGGUGGGGCUAGCGGGCCCGGGUAUGGUGGCGGCUGUCCCAAGAGGAGCUCUUGCGCACGGCUGCGGGGGGGGGGGGGGGGGGGAUGGGAAGUGGCACGGCCACUGUGGAAUGCAGCGUGGCAGUAACUGAAAAGGUGACGCAAGGGCUGGGACCACGUGACCCAGCAACCCCACGCCCGGUGUCCACCCAAGAAAAACAAAACACACGUCAGCACAGAAACCUGUAGUGAACGUUCACCGCAGCAUCGUUCGUAACACCCCCAAAGGGGAAAAAACCAAAAUACCCAUCGACUGAUGAACAGCUACACCCGGUGUGUCCCCCACGCGUGGGAACGCGAUCAGCCAGGAGCCGGAGCGAGGCGCCCCCCCCCCCCCCCCCCGCCGCCCCAAGGACGGACCCCGGACACGUGACGCUCAGGGAGGGAACCAGACCCGAGAGGCCAAGCGGGGUGUGAGUCCGCGUGGGGAACCUUUUCAGUCGUGGCGCUCAGUUUCUUCAGCUACAAAAUGGGCUGAUCGAGGGAGAGGGCAGGUCAGGAUGACCGCAGCGAGGGACCACUAAAGGUUAAUCUAACCGCACGGAACGAGGUACGCACACAGAACAUGCCACACUGAUCUGGGUACAAAGAGAUGGCCACGUUUUGGAGAUCUGGCCGUCUUCCGACAAAGCACAAGCUUUAAGAGUAAAAGCAAUGCCUUCGGAGACACAGAGCAGAUCGUUUCCGAACCCGUGCACGAAGGCCUAGCCCAUCCGGCCCCGGCAAGCGACAAACUGACCCAGACCAAGGCCGACACACCUUUUCUGUACAGGAUCACACUGUGAAUAUUCCCACCUACAUUCUCGAGCUCGACUCUCCAUUCUCGAGCUCGAGCUGACAGAGGCGAUCUGUCCAGGCACGCCGCACUCUGUGUGCCGAUAAAACUUUACUUGCAAAAACAGGCAGAGGGCCAGAUCGGUCCACCGACCAGUUAGCUGACCCCACCCCCAGAUGCCUGAAGUCCACCCCUUAAGCAACAAAACCUUUUCUUCACCUCUCCUACGGGGGACCUGAGUUCCACUGCCCACCUCCCUGAUUUCCUAAAUCACGACAGAGCAGAAAAAGCCACACUCCAGACCACGCUUGGCCCAAUUAGCUACACGGCCUGGGAGCCCAACACUGAACACGAGGUAGCCAUUCUCGGGGCACCAGGGAAAGCCACCGUGGGAUGGCCAGGAGCACACAGGACUGUUCGCCCCACACUGGCCAACCCCCUGCCGCCGGUCACCCCUCACAGGCCACACCCGCUCUGUAGAUGUGAGCCGGGAGAUGAUGAGGUUGUUCAAUCUCUUACGAGCCCACCAUUGGCCCACCAUCUGAGGCUACCUCUUUAAAACCCUCUGUCCCGGGUUUAUUAGAAAAGUACAGGAGGAGGCAGAAUGCCCGGAGUGAACACCCGCAGCAGCUGGGCAAUGCGAUUCUUUUCAAGGGCGUGGUUUGGGGUGAACGUGCCCCUGGAUGAGCCAGGUCCUGAUCCACACGACGCAGAUGGGGCAGCUCAAGCGGGGCAAUGCCCGCGUCCCCCGAAAUGCGCCAUGGCGAGGCGCGGCACUGUCGCUCGGACGCCGAAGGACGGGAGCGCAAACGUGAGCGCAAACGUGAGGAGGAGCGGCCAGCAGAGCCACCCCGAGGGUUCUGGGCUCCUCUGUGCAAAGGCUCCCGGGCCCCGGACACCCCUGAACUCAGGGCCAAACAGCAGCCGCCUUCUCCCAGCGUGCGUGCAGGCCUGACGGGCUGCCCCGGGGGGAGCCGCGGCCUUCAGUGCCUCGCUCUCCUGUGGCCACCUGGGCCUAGGGCCCGAGCACUUACUUCAAAGUCCCGGUCGUACUGGAGAGCCAAGGCCGCGGAGGACAGGUGCCCCGUAGCUGGCAGGGGUUUCUAUCAGGUCCCGGCAAGGGUGAUGGUUCCUACGGUGCACAAAAUAAAAGCACGAUGAACGGA